GACGAACGCUGGCGGCGUGCUUAACACAUGCAAGUCGAACGAAGUGGCGAACGGGUGAGUAAUGCCUAGGACUCUGCCUGGUAGUGGGGGAUAACGUCCGGAAACGGGCGCUAAUACCGCAUACUAUCAGAUGAGCCUAGGUCGGAUUCGCUAGUUGGUGGGGUAAAGGCCGACCAAGGCGACGAUCCGUAACGGGUCUGAGAGGAUGAUCAGGAAAACGGGAACUGAGACACGGUCCAGAAUCCUACGGGAGGCAGCAGGGGGGAAUAUGGGACAAUGGGCGAAAGCCUGAUACAGCCAUGCGGCGUGUGUGAAGAAGGUCUGCGGAUUGUAAAGCACUUUAAGUUGGGAGGCGUUACCAACAGAAUAAGCACCGGCUAACUUCGUGCCAGCAGCCGCGGUAAUUC
rnacentral:rRNA from 1 species